AGCAAAAUAUGUUAUGAAUUUGAUGACUAAUAAUAUUAAGUUUAUUAAUUGAUGCCAAUUUGUUUCCGAAAACUAAAACUUUCGUAAAUAAUUUCGAAGUAAUUUGGAGAUCUCGAGUCUUUCGUACCCAAGACAUUUCGAUCAUACUUAGACUGCAAAACCGACAGAUUUUACAAAUUGAUAUUACACAGGUGUCUGCCUUUACAGGAAAACCGGCAUAUACGCCUACAAUUUUUUGGUCUUGUCACGGCCGUUACGUCUCUACCAAAUGGGGCACAUUCUUUAAUAUUUCACAAUUUUUUAGCAGGUUAGUGAUGUAUAUUUUCUACUUGUUGACAUUUUAUUGUUUGUUACGCUGGAGAAUGCUUAGCGUCGCGAAUUUACGGUAGUCGAGGAUAUAUAAUAAUUUAUAAAGGUCAAAAUAAAAUUAUUCUGAAAUAUUAAAGAAUGUGCCCCAUUUGGCACAACCACUUUUCAAUCAUCCCUAGAAAAUUUUUGUUUUUGACCUUAUUUGUCAUUUUACUAAACUGUAAGCACAUCUUGUAUUCACCUUGACUAAAUUUAUCAGCAGCAAUGUCAAUUAUGGCGAUAAAAAAAGAAAAUGCUAGCAUUUUAGUUCAAAAUAUGUAAAAUGUGAAGUUGAGUUUGUCAAAAUUUCUUCAAAAUACAGAACUAAUUAUAUUUUAACAUUGUAUGACAAUUUUUAUGUGGUACAGUUUAUAUUUUGUUAACUGAUUGAAAAGUGGUUGUGAAAUUUUGAAGAACAGGAAAAUGGGUCAGUAAUGAUUUGUCCUCGAUUCAUAGUAAUAAUUCAAGUAAAAUUUUUAAAAAGUUGGUGCAUUAAUUAGCUGAAAAGAUAAUAUUCGCAGAAUUGAAAGAGAAUUUUUUUAUAUAUAAUUUCACUGUCUGUUAUUGUUGAAAAAUCUGUUAGCUGAUCGGAAAGAGGCAGUACGGGGAUACAUUUAUCUGGAAAAAAUAUUUCAGUCCCAUCAUGACAAAAUACCUCAAUGGAACCCCUUUAAAUUGAAUUACACUUUUUUUAAAUGUAUGGGUAAAUUCCAUUUUCAGUGGUUGAAAUUUUUCCUCUUUUCUGAUUAAUCAAGCUAUAGUUUCCCAUUUAUAAAGCCACAGGUUGUUUUGAAAGUUGAAAAAAAAUCACUGCCACCUUGAUUACUGGUUGGGGACCACCAAAACCGGACAACCACCAAACCCGGACGGCCCUGAAAAUGCUUAAUUUAGUAUUUUCUUUGUUCAGUGGUUGUCAGUCACUUUUUCAUUAACAAUAAAUGCACAUUUCUUCUAAAAUUAAGUAAAUAAAUUUAUUUCAACCUCCGUAAAUGGUAAUAUUUUAAUGUCUAUUUCUACAAUGUUGACGUUGAAAUUUGGGGGGUCAAGAAAGCAUUACCUGACCUCAUAUACCAGCUAUUAUCAUUUGCAGAGUAAACAAUAGAAAAUCCAAAACUUCAGCAUUUGUUGCUGAAAUAUUGUACAUCAUGUUAAAAAUCUAAAAUCAAAACACCCAAGCUUUUAUCUGAAUUAAAUCGUGUGAUGUACAUAUUUGUACGGACACAUGGUACUGUAGUGUAGACAAUUUAGGUAAUUUUGAUACCCUCCUUGUCAAGCCUCAGAUAUAAGUGUCAAUACAAUCAGAAAUAAACAAACUAGUUUGUUAGUAAGGAGAAGAAUCUAGCUGAACUGUGUCAAAUUUUAAGGUCUCUAGGUUAAAAAUUAUUAAAUCAGUACGGAAAAAUGUUCAAAAAGUGUCCGGUUGAUGGUCCUCGACCAGUAGAGCUGUCAUCGAUAUCGACAAUAUCGAUGUAUCGUUGAUAUUUUUUUGUCGAUCAAUAAUCGAUACACAUUUUAAAAAAUCGAUACUUUUGACUUAUAAAUUAAAUGUCUAGAAAUUAUACAAUUCACCCAAAAUAUAUGCAGAAACAGUUAUUUAUAUCUAAUGUUAUGCUUUUGUUAUAUAGUGAUUUAUAUCUAAUGUUAUGCUUUUGUUAUAUAGUGGAAUUAUUUCAUAGCAAUGGUGACAAAUAAUAUUGUCUGGAAAAAAUCAUGCAGUGGACAAGACACUGUACAGAACAUGUUUUUGACUGAAAUCAUUGAAACAGGUAUGAAAGUGAAUGACAGACAAGUGAGUUUAGGAUAUUAUCGAUAUAUCGGUGUAUCGUUGAUUUUAGUCACUUGAUAUCGAUAUAUCGUUGAUAUGCUUUGCACAGAAUCAAUGACAGCUCUAACCUUGAUAAUUGUUAACCUGAAAAAUCUUCAGGCACUUAAAGGGAUUUGAACCCCAGACCUCUUGAUUACAAGGCAGACACACAACCAUGUCGCGAAAAUGUCAACACAACAGCAAGACUGUUGGAAAUGAUCUAUACCUGUUCUCAAUACAUGGUUGAAGUAAUUUAUCAGUGUUAAUUAGACAUUUUAUAUGAUUUAACAAUUUUUGACACUUACUGAUAUUCACAUUUUUUUCACAAAUCUACAUGUAAAAAAUAGAUAUCAUAAUAAAAUGAUAGAACAUUUUCUAUUUUAGUGGUAAUACUGUGGAGUAAUAUGAAGAAAUAUUAUUAAUAUUUUAUUAUCAUAUUUUUUCAAAUUUUAAUUAUGUCAUUACAUGCUGUACACAAUCAUAUUAUAGUGUAAACAUAUAUAUACAUUGUAUAGACACAUAUAUACAUUGUAUAUACCAGAGACGUUAAAAUACAUAAAAUGUAUUUAUAUGUCUCUGUAUAUACACACACUAAGAGAGUAGUAUUGGAUGAUUUUGAAAAUGAAAUCUCUAAAUUGAUAUUUUCAGGGAAAUAAAAGAUUAUUUACUUUAAUAUUCACUUGGAAAGGCUGGUACAUGUAGCUAGAAAAAAGUACAGUAUAAGAUUAAAGAAAGACUAGAAGAUUAUUACAAACAACAGGUGGACAUGUGUCACUGUCAAGCGAAUGAAUAUAAGCAUCACACUUGGUGGGAAUCUCCAGUUUCCAGAUGUAGUGAUCAUAACUGUAUAGGCACCAUUAACACUUUGGACUAGUUGGAGUAUUUUAGAGGGCUAGUCUGAAUUGAAUCCCCUGUCAAUAGUAAAGGCCAGUCAUGAACAUUGUGUUGAAGGAAAAUGUUAAAACUCGGAUUUUCCGCUUAACCAAUCAUUACUUUACCUUAUAUUCAGUGCGGUAAUGUAGGAAAUGGUUACUUUCUGGAACGGAGCUGUCAAUUAUUUUUAAUUUUUUAGCUUGUUAGUGUUAUCGUCGGACAGUUGUGAAGUAAAGACAUCGCAGUUUGACUGUAAACUAUACAAGUUGCCUUAAAGAAAGUAUGUCGAAAUCUUAACAGUUAUUGGUUGAUUUUGUAGAAAUUGACCAGAAUUCACCUUUGUUUACACGCAUCGCUUGGACGUCGAAAACGACAUGCAAUGACAUUUCAGUGAAAUUUGGAAACUUGCUCGUAUUUUGGAGCAUUUUGUAGGAUUUCGAUGAAGUAAAAAGUGUUUAUGAUAGGAUACAUUAUUCCUAGAGACAACCACAAAGAUAAAAUAGUGAUCUGGUGUAUUUUUACCGAACAGUUCUUGUUUGUUUUGCAUGAUAUUUUUCUCUCGUUAGGGACCUUUAUUCUUUAUAUAUAGUAUUAUGAGCGUAUAUGGGUAAAUGUGGUAUAUAGUGCCUGUGGUUUUAACAUGUAUCUUAGCUUGCCUGGUGUAAUGAUAAGUAAUAAACCUGAGAAUUGAAACUAUGAGAAUAAA